UGUCGGUCCCUUCGCAACAGGAUUUUUGUGAAUCCCGUCAGACCCGGAAGGGAGCAGCGGCAGCAAUCAUUUUGGGUGCCGAGGUGUGGCUGGCAAGA
rnacentral:SRP_RNA from 1 species